UACGAAGGGGGCAAGCGUUGCUCGGAAUCACUGGGCGUAAAGCGCGCGUAGGCGGACGUGUCAGUCAGGGGUGAAAUCCCGGAGCUCAACUUCGGAACUGCCUUUGAUACAGCACGUCUUGAGUCCGGAAGAGGUGGGUGGAAUUCCUAGUGUAGAGGUGAAAUUCGUAGAUAUUAGGAAGAACACCGGUGGCGAAGGCGGCCCUCUGGUCCGGUACUGACGCUGAGGUGCGAAAGCGUGGGGAGCAAACAGG
rnacentral:rRNA from 1 species